rnacentral:rRNA from 1 species
AUUGAACGCUGGCGGCAUGCCUUACACAUGCAAGUCGAACGGCAGCGGACCUUCGGGUGCCGGCGAGUGGCGAACGGGUGAGUAAUAUAUCGGAACGUACCUUUCAGUGGGGGAUAACGUAGCGAAAGUUACGCUAAUACCGCAUAUUCUGUGAGCAGGAAAGCAGGGGAUCGCAAGACCUUGCGCUGAUUGAGCGGCCGAUAUCAGAUUAGCUAGUUGGUGAGGUAAAGGCUCACCAAGGCGACGAUCUGUAGCGGGUCUGAGAGGAUGAUCCGCCACACUGGAACAGAGACACGGUCCAGACUCCUACGGGAGGCAGCAGUGGGGAAUUUUGGACAAUGGGCGCAAGCCUGAUCCAGCCAUGCCGCGUGAGUGAAGAAGGCCUCGGUU